UACGUAGGUGGCGAGCGUUGUCCGGAAUUACUGGGUGUAAAGCGCGUGUAGGCGGGAGGCCAAGUCUGUGGUGAAAUCGCUCGGCUUAACUGGGCGGGGUCCAUGGAACUGGUCACCUGGAGGUCGGUAGAGGCAAGUGGAAUUCCCGGUGUAGUGGUGAAAUGCGUAGAGAUCGGGAGGAACACCAGUGGCGAAGGCGGCUUGCUGGGCCGGACCUGACGCUGAGACGCGAAGGCGGUGGGGAGCGAACGGG
rnacentral:rRNA from 1 species